rnacentral:tRNA from 2 species
GGGUUGCUAACUCAACGGUAGAGUACUCGGCCCGACUAGUUCCGGGUUCGAGUCCCGGGCAACCCA